GAAAAGGCGCUUAGUUUUCAUCAAACGCGCUCAAGUUUUCACCCUAUUUUUUUUCAAUUAAAAAAGAAAUACAGUAGAAAUGACUUAAAAGUAAGAAAAGAAUAGAAAGUUGUUAACGAAUGAAUCAACGAAGGAUUGAAGAAGAAGAAGAAGAGGUGAAGUAAUUGCUGUAAAGUUUCAUCGUCUUCUUCCAUUUCUCCAUCUAAUAAACCAUUUCUCUCUCUAAAACCUCUCUCUUUCUCAUGGCCAUCGCAACAGAGACUCGAUCUCACCCUCAACAACACACGAUUAAUCAUAUUGUUGCUAUGACAAUACUCUUUAAGAUCCCAUUGCAACAAUUGCAAGUUGAGCAUCAGCUUAAUAGAUAUAUAAGGCUUUUCAGGAAAAGUGAAGGCAGAGUGAAUGGUGUAUUCAGGUAGAUUCAACUACCUUCUUUCCCAUUUCUUCUCUCAGUCAGUACACUAAUGCUUGUAUGCAGAACUUUUACUUUAGUCUCAAGAUGUGCUUGUAUUUUAUUGUUUAGUGGAUUUUACUAGUAUUUACUAACAUUAAGAUGCAAACAUGUAAUUAAGAGGCUUGAGAUGUAGAAAAUAUGCAGAGUACGUAGAAACUUUUAAUAAACCAUGGGAAAAUUGAUACAAUCCCUUGAUUCCUAUUGAAUGAUGCUUGUUACAUAAUGAUUUCAUACUGAAUUUGAAAUUUUUGUUUAUUGGUUUUGUUAGGUGUUUGUUGAUAGGGUUAACAUCGUACCAUCUAACGUUUAUUAAAUUGAUUUUUCUUCCCAAGCAACAGGGAACUAUGUUAAACAGUUCAGCCGAACUGGAACAGUCCUCAAGUUCUUUACUCUAUCUUUUGUUAAAAGUUUGAUAGGUCUUCAUGUAGAACUAUGAUUUAAAACAUUCUUUUAGUAAAGGGUCAUGCUAACAUGUGCCCUAAGGGCACAUGUUAAGAGUUAAAUGUAGAAAUUUUUUCUAAGAAAUUGUGUAUUGUUUUCAUAAAAAGUUCAUAAUUAAUGUGUUUAUUACAUUUUCCAAUACUAAUUUACUAUAUUUAGGUUUCUUAACAUGUGCCCUUGGGGCACAUGUUAGCUUUAUCCUUUAGUAAAUACUUGCUUUAUUUUGUUUUGACACAACCACUCUAUUCCUAACACCAUUUAAUUUCUUUCAUAAGCAUACUCUUCUACAUUUUGCACCUCUUUUACCAACUCUUAUGGAAUCUAUUUCAGACACUAAAUAGCCGAAGACUUGCUGUUCUGGUAUGUUUCUAAUAAAUAUGUGUUUGAACUUUGAAUAAGCAUUAUACUUCAUGAAAACUAUGUUAAAAAAGAGAUAGAUAAUUUUAAACUGACUUGAAAACCAAGUUUGACAUUGAAAUUGGAGGAAUGAUACAUGUCCCUUAAGUACCUUGAAAGCAUUGGUGAUUCAUCACAGUAAGUUGAUUUUCUUUAUAAAUUUUAUUCACAUCUUAUUCUUUUAAUAUUUUUUUCUUUCUAUUUUAACAAUAAUUGUACAUUUUUGUAUAGCCAAAUAAUGAAUUUCCAAAUUUUUUAUUAGGUCAUAAUUCGAUUCUUUGGGUGGACCAUGGACCAAUUCUACUCUGGAGGAAGAAUGAUGGGUGUAAAACGAUUAUGUUAUCUCCAAGGGGUUUUAAGAAUUUUGCUAUAAUUAUUUUGUAUGUUUAGAUACACAAAUAAUGUUUGAAUUUUUCAAUGUUAGAACUAUUUUAUUUAAAUUUGAUGUAAGCAUUUUUAUAUAUUUAAA